rnacentral:rRNA from 1 species
UACGUAGGGUGCAAGCGUUGUCCGGAAUUAUUGGGCGUAAAGAGCUCGUAGGCGGUUUGUCGCGUCGGCCGUGAAAACCUGCAGCUUAACUGUGGGCGUGCGGUCGAUACGGGCAUCACUGGAGUUCGGCAGGGGAGACUGGAAUUCCUGGUGUAGCGGUGAAAUGCGCAGAUAUCAGGAGGAACACCGGUGGCGAAGGCGGGUCUCUGGGCCGAUGCUGACGCUGAGGAGCGAAAGCGUGGGGAGCGAACAGG